rnacentral:piRNA from 1 species
UGUAAUUCGUUAAAAUUAGAUUGGAU